rnacentral:rRNA from 2 species
UAGGGAAUCUUCGGCAAUGGACGAAAGUCUGACCGAGCAACGCCGCGUGAGUGAAGAAGGUUUUCGGAUCGUAAAACUCUGUUGUUAGAGAAGAACAAGGACGUUAGUAACUGAACGUCCCCUGACGGUAUCUAACCAGAAAGCCACGGCUAACUACGUGCCAGCAGCCGCGGUAAUACGUAGGUGGCAAGCGUUGUCCGGAUUUAUUGGGCGUAAAGCGAGCGCAGGCGGUUUCUUGAGUCUGAUGUGAAAGCCCCCGGCUCAACCGGGGAGGGUCAUUGGAAACUGGGAGACUUGAGUGCAGAAGAGGAGAGUGGAAUUCCAUGUGUAGCGGUGAAAUGCGUAGAUAUAUGGAGGAACACCAGUGGCGAAGGCGGCUCUCUGGUCUGUAACUGACGCUGAGGCUCGAAAGCGUGGGGAGCAAACAGG